rnacentral:rRNA from 1 species
UACGGAGGGUGCGAGCGUUGUCCGGAAUCACUGGGCGUAAAGGGCGCGUAGGCGGCCUGAUAAGUAGGGGGUGAAAUCCUGCGGCUUAACCGCAGGGCUGCCUUCUAAACUGUCGGGCUAGAGCACGGUAGAGGCAGAUGGAAUUCCCGGUGUAGCGGUGGAAUGCGUAGAGAUCGGGAAGAACAUCAGUGGCGAAAGGCGGUCUGCUGGGCCGUUGCUGACGCUGAGGCGCGACAGCGUGGGGAGCAACAGG